GGCAUGGACUUCUUUACUAUUGUCACAGAAGUACAUCCAAGGCUGAAUGACGCAACUAGUGUUCAGUCAGAAGCAUCUGCAAUGACACCCUUGCAUGGAAGCAGAAAUGCAUCUUCAAUAGCUGAACCUAACAAGGGAUCCAGGCAGUUUUUUCAAGACAUUAACUUUCAGUUACAACAAGGUGACACGUUGUAUUUUUAGGGAAACAAGGAUGACAGAGAAAGGAUUAUUGUUCGUAGAUUCAAAUUAGAAGAAUUGCGUAUAGAGGAAAUUCAAGAUCUUGAGAUGUUCGUAAGUGGCUUUGCUUACUUCUCAAACAGAAUGAUGUCAUGAAACACUUUCGAGAGGAUCUGCAUUGGGCUGACUUCAAAAAGCUAAGUUGAUGGAGUUGAGUCUCUAGUGCUUUCUUGUCUUUGUAUGCUAUAUCUUUCCAUGUGUUCCUCUUGGCAGAUAAG